rnacentral:rRNA from 1 species
UAAGGAAUAUUGCUCAAUGGGAGAAAUCCUGAAGCAGCAACGCCGCGUGGAGGAUGAAGGGUCUAUGACUUGUAAACUCCUGUAAAGAAGGAAAAAAUUCCCAUUUGAUGGGAGAUGAUGGUACUUCUGGAGUAAGCCCCGGCUAACUACAUGCCAGCAGCCGCGGUAAUACGUAGGGGGCAAGCGUUGUCCGGAUUUACUGGGUGUAAAGGGUGCUCAGGCGGAUUUGUAAGUCAGAGGUGAAAUCUUACAGCUUAACUGUGAAACUGCCUUUGAUACUGCAAGCCUAGAGUAUGGAAGAGAGUGAUGGAAUAUCUGGUGUAGCAGUGAAAUGCGUAGAUAUCAGAUAGAACACCAAUGGCGAAGGCAGUCACUUGGUCCAUUACUGACGCUAAAGCACGAAAGCGUGGGUAGCAAACA